GAUGAACGCUGGCGGCGUGCCUAAUACAUGCAAGUCGAGCGAACGGACGAGACGCUUGCUUCUCUGAUGUUAGCGGCGGACGGGUGAGUAACACGUGGAUAACCUACCUAUAAGACUGGGAUAACUUCGGGAAACCGGAGCUAAUACCGGAUAAUAUUUUGAACCGCAUGGUUCAAAAGUAAAAGACGGUCUUGCUGUCACUUAUAGAUGGAUCCGCGCUGCAUUAGCUAGUUGGUAAGGUAACGGCUUACCAAGGCAACGAUGCAUAGCCGACCUGAGAGGGUGAUCGGCCACACUGGAACUGAGACACGGUCCAGACUCCUACGGGAGGCAGCAGUAGGGAAUCUUCCGCAAUGGUCGAAAGCCUGACGGAGCAACGCCGCGUGAGUGAUGAAGGUCUUCGGAUCGUAAAACUCUGUUAUUAGGGAAGAACAUAUGUGUAAGUAACUGUGCACAUCUUGACGGUACCGAAUCAGAAAGCCACGGCUAACUACGUG
rnacentral:rRNA from 1 species